GACGAACGCUGGCGGCGUGCUUAACACAUGCAAGUCGAACGAAGUGGCGAACGGGUGAGUAACGCGUAAUCAACCUGCCCUUCAGAGGGGGACAACAGUUGGACACGACUGCUAAUACCGCAUACUGAAGGAGGGGAGUGCGUCUGAUUUGCUAGUUGGAGGGGUAACGACCCAACAAGGCGAUGAUCAUUAGCCGGUCUUAUAGGAUGAACGGCCACAUUGGGACUGUGACACGGCCCAGACUCCUACGGGAGGGAGGAGUGGGGAAUCUUCCGCAAUGGACGAAAGUCUGACGGAGCAACGCCGCGUUAGUGAUGAUGGCCUUCGGGUUGUAAAGCGCUGUUAAUCGGGACGCGGUACCGGAAUAGAAAGCCACGGCUAACUACGUGCCAGCAGCCGCGGUAAUAC
rnacentral:rRNA from 1 species